CUGCAUUGGACCGUGUAUAAGUCUCCUGGGAUGGAGCGUCAGAGAGGGUGAGAAUCCCGUGUUCGACAUGGAUUGCCAGUGCAUUGUGGUACGCUCUCAAAGAGUUGAGUUGUUUGGGAAUGCAGCUCUAAAUGGGUGGUAAAAUCCAUCUAAAGCUAAAUAUUGGCGAGAGACCGAUAGCGAACAAGUACCGUGAGGGAAAGAUGAAAAGAACUUUGGAAAGAGAGUUAAACAGUAUGUGAAAUUGUUGAAAGGGAAACGCUUGAAGUCAGUCGCGUUGAUCAGGGAUCAGGUCGGCAUUUUUUUUGC
rnacentral:rRNA from 2 species